rnacentral:rRNA from 1 species
UACGAAGGGGGCUAGCGUUGCUCGGAAUCACUGGGCGUAAAGCGCACGUAGGCGGCUCUUUAAGUCGGGGGUGAAAUCCUGGAGCUCAACUCCAGAACUGCCUUCGAUACUGUAGAGCUUGAGUUCGGGAGAGGUGAGUGGAACUGCGAGUGUAGAGGUGAAAUUCGUAGAUAUUCGCAAGAACACCAGUGGCGAAGGCGGCUCACUGGCCCGAUACUGACGCUGAGGUGCGAAAGCGUGGGGAGCAAACAGG